rnacentral:rRNA from 1 species
GACGAACGCUGGCGGCGUGCUUAACACAUGCAAGUCGAACGGAAAGGCCUUUUCGGAGGUACUCGAGCGGCGAACGGGUGAGUAACACGUGGGUGAUCUGCCCUGCACUCUGGGAUAAGCCUGGGAAACUGGGUCUAAUACCGGAUAGGACCGCACUUUAGUGUGUGUGGUGGAAAGUUUUUUCGGUGUAGGAUGAGCCCGCGGCCUAUCAGCUUGUUGGUGGGGUAAUGGCCUACCAAGGCGGCGACGGGUAGCCGGACUGAGAGGUUGGUCGGCCACAUUGGGACUGAGAUACGGCCCAGACUCCUACGGGAGGCAGCAGUGGGGAAUAUUGCACAAGGGGCGCAAGCCUGAUGCAGCGACGCCGCGUGGGGGAUGACGGCCUUCGGGUUGUAAACUCCUUUCGCCAGGGACGAAGCGUUUUGUGACGGUACCUGGAGAAGAAGCACCGGCUAACUACGUG